AGAGUUUGAUUCUGGCUCAGGACGAACGCUGGCGGCGUGCUUAACACAUGCAAGUCGAACGAUGAAGCCUAGCUUGCUAGGUGGAUUAGUGGCGAACGGGUGAGUAAUACGUGAGUAACCUACCUUUAACUCUGGGAUAAGCCUGGGAAACUGGGUCUAAUACCGGAUACGACCAAUCUCCGCAUGGGGUGUUGGUGGAAAGCGUUAUGUAGUGGUUAUAGAUGGGCUCACGGCCUAUCAGCUUGUUGGUGAGGUAACGGCUCACCAAGGCGACGACGGGUAGCCGGCCUGAGAGGGUGACCGGCCACACUGGGACUGAGACACGGCCCAGACUCCUACGGGAGGCAGCAGUGGGGAAUAUUGCACAAUGGGCGCAAGCCUGAUGCAGCGACGCCGCGUGAGGGAUGACGGCCUUCGGGUUGUAAACCUCUGUUAGCAGGGAAGAAGAGAAAUUGACGGUACCUGCAGAGAAAGCGCCGGCUAACUACGUGCCAGCAGCCGCGGUAAUACGUAGGGCGCGAGCGUUGUCCGGAAUUAUUGGGCGUAAAGGGCUUGUAGGCGGUUGGUCGCGUCUGCCGUGAAAUCCUCUGGCUUAACUGGGGGCGUGCGGUGGGUACGGGCUGACUUGAGUGCGGUAGGGGAGACUGGAACUCCUGGUGUAGCGGUGGAAUGCGCAGAUAUCAGGAAGAACACCGAUGGCGAAGGCAGGUCUCUGGGCUGUAACUGACGCUGAGAAGCGAAAGCAUGGGGAGCGAACAGGAUUAGAUACCCUGGUAGUCCAUGCCGUAAACGUUGGGCACUAGGUGUGGGGGACAUUCCACGUUUUCCGCGCCGUAGCUAACGCAUUAAGUGCCCCGCCUGGGGAGUACGGCCGCAAGGCUAAAACUCAAAGGAAUUGAC
rnacentral:rRNA from 1 species